rnacentral:rRNA from 1 species
GAUGAACGCUAGCUACAGGCUUAACACAUGCAAGUCGAGGGGCAGCACAGUGUAGCAAUACACGGGUGGCGACCGGCGCACGGGUGCGUAACGCGUAUCCAAUCUUCCCGUUACUCUUGGAUAGCCUUCCGAAAGGGAGAUUAAUACAAGAUGGUAUUCAAAUUCCGCAUGUUAUUUGAAUUAAAGAUUUAUCGGUAACGGAUGGGGAUGCGUGACAUUAGGUAGAUGGCGGGGUAACGGCCCACCAUGCCUACGAUGUCUAGGGGUUCUGAGAGGAAGGUCCCCCACACCGGAACUGAGACACGGUCCAGACUCCUACGGGAGGCAGCAGUGAGGAAUAUUGGUCAAUGGCCGGAAGGCUGAACCAGCCAAGUAGCGUGAAGGAUGAAGGUUCUAUGGAUUGUAAACUUCUUUUAUAUAGGAAUAAAGCCCACUACGUGUAGUGGUUUGAAUGUACUAUAUGAAUAAGCAUCGGCUAACUCCGUGCCAGCCGCCGCAGUAAUAC